GCGAAAAUACCCGCGUCUUUUGCCCACAACAAUCGGUUUGCAAGUCUUCUUGAAUGAGAGCAACUGGUGAAAAUGGACAUUCUAAAGCACGUACUGCCCAUGUACCACGAUUUUAGAUUAGAUACAAACUUGAAAUGAUCCCGUGAGUGAGCCAUUUUUGGCGACCAGUUAACUCAACAGGUUUUUGAACAAUCAUAACAUUAACAGACCAGGGGUGAGAGCUGGAGAUUGAUGCCUUGUGACACAGCCCUGGUGUUUGUGAAUAACCAUGACAACCGAAGAGGUCAUGGGGCAGUCGGGGCAUCCAUCCACCCGGUCUAGGAGCCUAGCAGGUGGGAGGUUUUCUCAAAAGGAUGCUGGAGAGAUUGCAUCUAGCAUACCAAUGAAACAGGGAGGAACGAGGAACACGGAGACGAGGAUGAACUUCAAAAUAGUCUUUAAUGUGACAUCAGGACAGGGCAAGACAAGGCAAGGCAGACACAGACAGGAACACCGGGGAAUAACGAGUAGACCAGACGAAAUCUAACUAAACAGGCAGGAACUAAAUACACAUGACAAUUAAUGAUAAUUAGACAAAACAUGGCUGGACACGACUUAACUAAUAAAUCACACUUAACAAGGACAGGAACAUGACCAAAUAUGGAAACAAGAGGCGGGAACACAUGACAGACACGACAGAGGACUGACAGUUUUCUUGUAAAUUAGGUUAUAUUUUCAUUUGAUUAAAUUAUA